CGCGCGACCCCCAUCCCCCUGACGAUCGGCCACCCCUCCGCGACUAUCUCCGUCGGUGGUUUUUUUUCUCGUCAUCCAUAUCCUUCCUUUUUUCACGGCGCGUUCUCGCGCGAAGGGGGUGAGUCGUCUAGCCGUGGCGCGUCCUUGGCCGGCGGCGAUCCGCCGUUUCAGCGAGCGUUAGCGAGUGUCUUACGCGGCGACGUGUUUUACACGUCACGAAGCAAGCCGGCGUAUCGUCCGGAUAUAUAUUUCGCUGCGUGAUAUCCCGUUGUGACAGACGCUUGUGGUCGACGCGCAGCGCGGUGGCGUGUCUACCAUCGCGCUUCCGUCUCUCGCUCUUUCCUUCUCUUUCUCCUUCUCUGUCUCUCUCUCUCUCUUUCUCUCCUCGAUUCUGUCUCUAUCCGGUGUCUUGUGUGCGUCUGUCUGUCGCGUGCGAGAAAAAUCUGCCCCCGCACCACUCGUACUCUCUCUCGUGUGUCUGUCACGGGGAUCCCCCUCCGAGGAAAGGAUCCGGUACGGCGAGGAAACAUGGGGAGAGGGACAUCGUUGUAUAUGAUUUCCACUGACGAUCUGCAAUGAAUUUCCCGCCGUUCGGAGGUCACUUCCCUACUACUAUACCGAGUAUUCAUCAGUUCGCGACCGAAAGCUCCAGCGGUGCGGGCGCGCGUUACGCCAAUCAUUUUCCCAACCAGCCUCCGAUCGGAGUGCCGGUUAUGGGAAAGUACCGUCCCGAGAACAACGGCGUACAAUCCGCUCAGUCGCAAGUGAUGAUGAACAAUAAAACCAGCUAUCCCAACAGUAAUGUUCACCAUUAUCCAAAUGUGCCGUACUCUCAAGCCCAAUCGGUUCAACAACGGCCGGCCAAUUCGCCUGGAAUGCAAGAGAAACGCUCGUAUCAUCAGCAGUCCACGGAAACUAUAAAUCAACAAGAUGUUUGUAAUCUGCUUCAAGAUAAAGAUAAGAAUAAAGAGAAAAAAGCUGAGGAACAGCGCAAUGGAGAGACUACCACAAAUGGUACGCAACAGGAUUACACGAUGCACCAACAUCAUCAACAACAUGCUCAUACUCAGACACCAGCCACUAUGCCCGCUACGUGGCAGUCGCUUGCUACUCCUGGAUCCACCGUAGCUGAUUAUCUCAGUCAUUUGCCGGCUAGUACUUUACCACUGAGUUUACAUCAUUUUCUUAAAUAUUCUGCCGAAAGUAUUAAAAAGGAAUCCGAGAUGGCUCAAACUACUUCGGUGGCUGUGGCGACUACAACGACACCCAACAUAAUGAUGUCGCCGAAUAAUAAAAAGAAGAAAAAGAAGAAGACGCCAAAGGAAAAGAAACCGCGUCCAAAGCCUGGCGAAAUUCGUUUAACGACAGCAUUAGACGGCUCGACGUUGUACUGCUGUCCGGAAUGCCAUAUGGCGUAUCCGGAACGAGAAUUGUUGGAGCAGCAUCUUUUAGGUCAUACCUUAGAAAGAAGAUUUGUCUGUGACAUAUGUGGCGCUGGCUUAAAACGAAAAGAUCAUCUUACGCGUCAUAAACAAAGCCACAAUCCCGAGCGACCUUACGUUUGCACCGUUUGCUUGAAGGCUUUUAAGAGAAAGGAACAAUUGACGUUACAUUUUGUAAUACAUUCUGGAGAGAAACGACACGUGUGUACCGAAUGCGGCAAAGGAUUUUAUCGGAAGGAUCAUUUACGGAAACAUACCAGAAGUCACAUCGCGAGAAGAGUGAAAGCUGAACUAAGUCAAAACGCCAGUACACAACAAAAUCAACAGCAAAAUAACGUUUCAAAUAUGCAAACGACAACUGUUUCGGCAUCCUCUGUUCUUCCGGGCGGGCAUCCGGGUUCUCUCCUGUCCUGAGCCCCGCCACCAGGGAACUUUCAAGUUCCCCAUCCAAACAAUAUUCUUCAUACGCAUACUUCACAUCAUUCGCUGCAUCAUCAUCAUCUAACAGCGGUUAAUGUGGCGCAUCAAUCGAGCAUCACGCCACUCGCUACAUCCGGUCAUUAUCAGUCGCACGAGCUUAGCUUUUUGGGACACGUUAAAGAUUUCUGAGACGAGGAGAGAACCUCGACAAAGAGGUAACACCAAGAUGCUAACCGAUUGUCACUGUCUCGUCGUCGACUGGUAGGUGGACUAUGCAAAUAAUGGUAAAAGAUAAGAAGAAUAGCUUUACGAGAUUUAUAAGAGAAAGGAUGGAAAAAAGUAUGUGAAUAUUGAAAGAGAGAGAGCAGCAGAUAUUUCCAAAGUUCGACAUAUGUCUUCGACUGUUCAAACAAAUGAGUGGCUCAAGAAGAUCUAUUUUGAAGGCUAGCUAAAAGAACCUAUUAAAAGAACCUAUUACCAUCCUCGACGAGGCGAACAGUUGAUUCUUGACGAGUUAAAGAACCGACCGUUUCGUCGUCGAGCUAUAUAGAGUAGUAAUGUUCCUGUAGAAAAAGGAAAGAUAAUAGUUGAUGCGUUUCUAAAGAAGAGAGAAAUACUUUUCCGGUGCCUUUGUAUUGCGCUGGAUUUUCCGCACCUAUAUAGUUUUCCAUCGUAAAGUUUAAGAUCUAAAGAGCGGCGCGUUGUGCCUCUCUGUUUUCGAAACUACAUGUAUGUACACUUGUCCGCCUUCACGUCGUUCGAGCAGCCAUUUUUCAUUAUUUUUAUAUCGCUUUUCUUAUUAUUUUAAUAUCUUAUCCGAAAUAAUUUCAGUGAAUAUAUAUUCAGUGAUAUGCCAUGAUAUUGUGAUUUGAUAAAGUACACGUUUCUUUCUCAAGAUAAGGAGAAUAUUUCGUUUAAUUUCUUGAGAUAGAAUCAGAAGAGUGAUUCGAUUAGGGGGACAAAAAAUAUGUAUAUAUAAAUA
rnacentral:misc_RNA from 1 species